rnacentral:rRNA from 1 species
AAAGUUCGAUUACCAGAUUGAACGCUGGCGGGAUGCUUUACACAUGCAGGUCGAACGGUAGCAGGACUUGAAACCAGGAGAGGCGAACGGGUGAGUAAUGUAUCGGAACGUGCCUAGUAGCGGGGGAUAACUACGCGAAAGCGUAAAAAUAAUAAUGCGGGCUAAUGUACCCUUCGGGGGAAAGCGGGGGACCUUCGGGUCUCGCACUAUUAGAGCGGCCGAUAUCGGAUUAGCCAGUUGGUGGGGUAACGGCUCACCAUGACGAUCCGUAGCUGGUUUGAGAGGACGACCAGCCACACUGGGACUGAGACACGGCCCAGACUCCUACGGAGGCAGCAGUGGGGAAUUCUUGACAAUGGGGAAACCCCGAUCCAGCCAUCCUGGGCAAAAGCGAUGAAGGCCUUCGGUUGUAAAGCACUUUUGGCAGGAAAGAAACGGCACGGAUAACACCGUGCAACUGACGGUACCUGCAGAAUAAGCACCGGCUAACUACGCAGCCAGCAGCCGCGGUAAUACGUAGGGGUGCAAGCGUUAAUCGGAAUUACUGGGCGGAAGCGUGCGCAGGCGGUUCGGAAAGAAAGAUGGAACUCAGAGCUUAACCCUUUAAACUGCAUUUUUAACUACUGAGCUAGAGUGUGUCAGAGGAGGUGGAAUUCGCGUGUGUAGCAGUGAAAUGCGUAGAUAUGGAGGAACACCGAUGAAGUAAGGCAGCCUCCCCUGGGACAACACUGACGCUCAUGCACGAAAGCGUGGGGAGCAAACAGGAUUAGAUACCCUGGUAGUCCACGCCCUAAACGAUGUCAACUAACAAGCUGGGGCUCUUCGGGCCUUGGUAGCGCAGCUAACGCGUGAAGUUGACCGCCUGGGGAGCAUGGUCGCAAGAGAUUAAAACUCAAAGGAAUUGACGGGACCCGCACAAGCGUGGUGGAUGAUGUGGAUUAAUUGAUAACGCGAAAACCUUACCUACCCUUGACAUGUUCAAAUCCCGAAGAGAUUUGGGAUAGUUUAAAAGAGAACCGAACACAGGUGCUGCAUGGUUGUCGUCAGCCCGUGUCAGAGAUGUUGGGUUAAGUCCUGCAACGAGCGCAACCCUUGUCAUUAGUUGCUACGAAAGGGCACUCUAACGAGACUGCCGAUGACAAACCGGAGGAAGGUGGGGAUGACGUCAUCCUCAUGGCCCUUAUGGGUAGGGCUUCUUACACGUCAUGCCAAAUGGUCGGGACAGAGGGUCGCCAACCCGCGAGGGGGGAGCCAAUCCCAGAAACCCGAUCGUAGUCCGGAUCGCAGUCUGCAACUCGACUGCGUGAAGUCGGAAUCAUAGCAAUCGCGGAUCAGCAUGUCGCGGUGAAUACGUUCCCGGUCUUGUACAACGCCCGUCACACUACAAGUGGGCUUCACCAGAAGUAGUUAGCCUAACCGUAAGGAGGCGAUUACCACGGUAGGAUUCGCGAUCAGUAAGUCAAAAUAAGGUAA